UGCAUCUUCAUCCUUCGCUCGCCCCGUCCUCAUCAUCGUCGAUCGAUCAAGCGACCUCAGCGUAAACCUUCAGCACGCGUGGACUUACGAGGCUAUGCUUCACGAUGUGUUGGGUAUGAGUCUAAACAAGGUUACUGUGGCUGAAUCUGUGGGG
rnacentral:rRNA from 1 species